UGGGCAACCUGCCCUAGGGAGCGGGACAACCCGAGGAAACUCGGGCUAAUACCGCAUGAUUCGCCGGGCCUCAAGGCCCGGCGGGAAAUGGGUAGCUUCGGCCUCCGCCCUAGGAUGGGCCCGCGGCGCAUUAGCUUGUUGGUGAGGUAACGGCCCACCAAGGCGACGAUGCGUAGCUGGUCUGAGAGGACGAUCAGCCACAGUUGGGACUGAGACACGGCCCAGACCUCCCGUACGGGGAGG
rnacentral:rRNA from 1 species